UGUAAUGACUUCACUUAAUUUAAAACCUAUUUGAUAUACUCAGAUUCAUAGUUUUUUGAUAGUACAGGUCACCAGGAACGUCAAUUUUGACUGUGCUGUCAGAUUGGUGAGCCCAGGCUGGGGUUCUGUGGGCUGUCCUUCUAGCAAUUAGAGGCUGCAUGAAGACAAGAGGAUACUGCACUUCUGAUUUCCGUUCAUCAUCAGCUGGAAUCCGCUGCAAGGCCUGCUUUACAAUCUGAGGUUUAUUUCCAGCAGUUAUGGAGAUUAGUUUUGAGGGGAUCAAAGAUGAUGCUGUGGAAAUGAAGAUCUCUCAAGGAAACGUAACUUGUGUCAUAUCUGCAUUUGUGUGUAACUUCCAACGUUAGUAAAAAGAGAUGAAUGUGUACAAUAUAAAGCUAAAUA